GCCUUUUCUCCUUCUAAAAAUUAAUGAGGCGGCAAAUGAAAGUGAUCCCCGCCUUUUCUCCUUCUAAACGAAAGAAGCUCUAAGCUGCUUCUCAUUUUUCAAUAUACGCAUAGCACACUUUCCCUUUCUCUCCCUCUCUCACGUCUCUGCCCAAGCCAGUUGACCACUUUCUGCCUGUUGGGGAGCCGCACGAGCCACACCACAAGGAAGCACGGCCACCUAAACCAUUUCUCCAUAUCCUCGCCUAUGAACGCACCAUCCUCCGCUGGUUGCUUGUCGAAGUCGUGCGCCUCUGGGAGAUUCGAGGAGUUUUCCGGCCACCUCUGUCCUCCAUUUAUGGAGCCAGUUGCAUGGUUGGAUUCAGCUCUUCUUUAGGUUCAAAACCCUCUCAAGGAUCAAACCCUUAGAUUGUCGGAGUCACCGUCGGUUCUUUGAUGGUGUUCGGUUCUUGCGAGGCAGCGGGAGAUAAGUUCUCUAGUGGUUACGAAAACAGGAAGUGGGAAAUUUUGGCGAAGCUUUCAGGGAAGAUGGGCUCGACUUCGAUUUGGACGGGGUUGUGUUUGUAGGAAGAAAUGCAAUGGAUGGCAUGGAAACAGUUGUUAGAAUUUGAAAAGU